rnacentral:ncRNA from 1 species
AACAUAAAUAGAGGCGCAAAUAAAGUGGUAGCAUAUAUUAAAACCCGGGAUGAACCCCUUAGGAUAUAAGCGAAUUCUUUAUUUGCCGAAAGAAUUUAUAGGUUCAUCUAUAAAUUCUUGGGAUUAAGGUACAACAUCCUUACUCCUGCCAUGAAAAUAUGGAGCGCUAUUUAUGUA